rnacentral:rRNA from 1 species
CAAGUCAUCAUGGCCCUUACGACCAGGGCUACACACGUGCUACAAUGGCGCAUACAAAGAGAAGCGACCUCGCGAGAGCAAGCGGACCUCAUAAAGUGCGUCGUAGUCCGGAUUGGAGUCUGCAACUCGACUCCAUGAAGUCGGAAUCGCUAGUAAUCGUGGAUCAGAAUGCCACGGUGAAUACGUUCCCGGGCCUUGUACACACCGCCCGUCACACCAUGGGAGUGGGUUGCAAAAGAAGUAGGUAGCUUAACCUUCGGGAGGGCGCUUACCACUUUGUGAUUCAUGACUGGGGUGAAGUCGUAACAAGGUAACCGUAGGGGAACCUGC